AAUCAACGCUGGCGGCGUGCCUCAGACAUGCAAGUCGAACGCGAAAGCCCCCUUCGGGGGGCGAAGUAGAGUGGCGCACGGGUGAGUAACACGUAGGUAAUCUACCUUUGGAUGGGGAAUAACAACCGGAAACGGUUGCUAAUACCGCAUAAUGCAGCGGCACCUAAUGGUGACAGUUGUUAAAGCGGGGGAUCGAAAGACCUCGCGUCUGAAGAGGAGCCUGCGGCGGAUUAGCUUAGNGGUAAGGUAAUGGCUUACCAAGGCGACGAUCCGUAGCCGGCCUGAGAGGGCGGUCGGCCACACUGACACUGACA
rnacentral:rRNA from 1 species